rnacentral:misc_RNA from 1 species
AAAGGAUUAAAAGCUAAGCAGUUAACCUCACUCUGGUGAGCAACUACUGAUUGGACAGGCUUUGUGUUUGCUGGAGUUCGGAGAUCCCAAAUAAGCAGGUAUUGAUCAUCCCCAACAGAGCCAAAUAAGUAUUCAUGUCUCAGAUGCCAUGCAACAUCUUCUACAACACCUUCAUGAACCUUAAAAAUUUGCAUAGCAUCGAGGGACUUGCUCUUAGGAGUGCAAUUGAUGUCCCACAAGCAAAUUUGAGCAUCAUC